rnacentral:rRNA from 1 species
GAUGAACGCUGACAGAAUGCUUAACACAUGCAAGUCAACUUGACUAGUUUACUAGUUGGGUGGCGCACGGGUGAGUAACGCGUGAAGAACUUGCCUCUUAGACUGGGACAACUAUUAGAAAUGAUAGCUAAUACCGGAUAGUAUCAAUGUAUGGCAUCAUAUAUUGAUGAAAGAUAUAUUCGCUAAGAGAGAGCUUCGCGUCCCAUUAGCUAGUUGGUGGUGUAACGGACCACCAAGGUGACGAUGGGUAGCCGGCCUGAGAGGGUGGACGGCGACAAGGGGACUGAGACACGGCCCUUACUCCUACGGGAGGCAGCAGUGGGGAAUAUUGGACAAUGGGCGAACUGCCUGAUCCAGCAAUUCUAUGGGAAUGAAGAAGGCUUUCGGGUCGUAAAGUUCUUUCGGCAGGGAAGAAGAAAGUGACGGUACCUGCAUAAGAAGCGACGGCUAAUUACGUGCCAGCAGCCGCCGUAA